rnacentral:lncRNA from 1 species
UUGAAAUGAAAUUAUGACUAUUUGAAUAUAAUAAAAAUAUUCAAUAAAAUAUUCUAUUUUCUUAUAAAACAAUAUUUAUAGAGUUACCGGUAAAUAAUUUUUGUAGCGUAAAAGCUAAAUAAAUUCAUACAUACUAUAACACAGAUAACCAAAGUAUAAAAUUUAAUUUACAGUGACACGUGGGCCCACGAACGACCAAAAGUAUCUAAAGCGGUAAACCUACAGUUUUUGAGGAUGCAAGUCCAACUGUAGCCCUCAACGAAAUGAGCUAUCUACCAACUAUCCUGAGCCUGAAAUGGGUGGAAAGGAGGGUGGUGAGAUUAUAUAAUCCUAGUGAGUAAACAAAUACCAUCUAAAAUAUCAAAGCUAAGUAAGUGGAGACAGAUAAAAUAGUUUAACAUACUGUAAUUCAUCACCUUUCAACUCAUUUCAACAAAAUAAAAUCAAUUCAUAUAAAUCGAGUAAUCAACAUGGCUUAUGAAUUUCUUAAAACUUUGGCUCGUGCCAAAAUCAUUCUCAUACUCAGUUAUCAUGGAUACCUUGACCGAGGGCUAUCCCAAUUGAGACCGCCAAGGUUGUUAAAAAGUUAUGUACGCAUAAAUCAUAUUUUUAUUUUGAAAGCAUAGCCGUUCCUUGGCGUUGGCUGAGUUCACCCUCACGUGGUGGUUUGGCGUGAAGUGAACUCUAAAGUUUUAACCUCAGGAGUUAUCCAACCGCGCCUCUCAUACUGAGGUAUGAAUAUAAUAGGGUUACCUUGCCCCUUUAAUAGGCUGGUCCACGAAACCCGUCCACUACAGCGACCAAUUAAUAACCCACCAUACAAUAAAAUUUGCGAUAACAUGACAUGGUAAUUAUUUUAUUUUACAGCCUCUCAAGGCAAAUUAACAGUUCAUACAUUUUCAACACAAAUACCAAUUUAGCCAUUCAUGCCAAUAUUAUCAUAAGCCAUUCAAUUCAAACCAUGAUUUAUAACACAACAAUUAGUCUCCAAUUACUCCAUUUUCAAAACCAUCUUUCAAUUUCAAGACAAUUUUAUAAAAUCAUUUUCAUUUAAUCACAUUUUGCUUAUAAAACAUAAAGAUUUACCAUUUAAACUCAUUUUCCAUAAAAUCACAAAAUCGGAUAAAAACCACUUUAGAUAAUUAAGACGAUAGUAAGGUUACUCGCUAUUUCGGGAGUCGAAUUUCGAGUACUCCGAUUCUUGAUCCUUGGGUACUAUCUCUUUACUUUUGCCAGAAUGCUCACCACCUAGACAUAAUGCAUAAUAUGCCAUUUACUACAUUUGUGCUAAAUUGUUAUAAAACCAAUUCAGGCUUUAUACUAAUGCAUGAAAUGGGAUGUAAAUUGUUUGGAUUAUCAUCUAAACACAGUGUUCUACACAAAUUCAAUUGUGUAUCUAAAUAAAAUGGUAUUGGCCUAAUUUGAUCUAUCACCCGAUUAAUUGGCCAAUACGUCCAAUUUAACUCCAAUUAACUCCAUUUUUCUUCCAAUUCUCCAAACCAUCAAACACAAGUCAAAUGGCAUAAAAUUUAGCAAAAUCAUCUUCAAAUUUUCUCUUGGGAAUUUCGGCCAUGGUGGGUGCAUCAACACUAUAAUUUUUCCUACUUGAUUUUCUCACCAUAAUUCAUCAUUUCCUAACCAAUUCACUUGAAAGAAAAUCAAAUCCACCAUCAACACUCUACAAGGAAGAUUCGGCCAAUGAUGAACUCUUGAGGAGUAUGUGAAUUUCAAGCUUAAUUCUUACACUUAACAGUAUAAACAACUAAAAGCAUCCAUAUAUCUUAAAAAUCUAUCUAAGUCAUCAUCAAAUUCUCUCUCCUAGGGUUUGAUCAACACACUAUCCUUCAUGAUAUCUUGUGAUUCAACUAUAGAAAAUAAGAAAAAAUGCUUAAGAAAGAGAGAUCUCAAGCUUAAUUGAAAAGUCUUACAUUUUUUUCACUUGUUUCCUUGAAUUUUCACACUUUUCCCUUGAAUUUUCACUCUAGGAUGUUUGUUCUUUCUUUUCUUCCUU